rnacentral:rRNA from 1 species
AAUCAACGCUGGCGGCGUGCCUAACACAUGCAAGUCGCACGAGAAAGGGGAGCAAUCCCUGAGUAAAGUGGCGCACGGGUGAGUAACACGUGAAUCAUCUACCUCCGAGUGGGGAAUAACUGAGAGAAAUCUUAGCUAAUACCGCAUAACACUUACGAGUCAAAGCAGCAAUGCGCUUGGAGAGGAGUUCGCGGCCGAUUAGUUAGUUGGCGGGGUAAUGGCCCACCAAGACGAUGAUCGGUAUCCGGCCUGAGAGGGCGCACGGACACACUGGAACUGAAACACGGUCCAGACUCCGUACGGGAGGCAGCG